UUUAUUGUGGGAGGAGGGUAGACUAUCUUUGAUUAUGCGUCAAUUGCUUAUACCUGGUAAAAGAAGGUUGGGUUAGGAAUGAUUCUGAAUAGAAAAGUAAGAACUGUUUUAUCCAAAGAAGGAAUUUCACUCUACACCUACGUGGGGUGACUCCUGACAUAAAAAAAGUGGUUGGGUUUUGACUAGAAGCAAAAGAAGAUGGGACAGACUGUAGGGAAGACCAUGCAGAAGCAGCAAGAAAAGACAAUGUUUCCUUUUUCCUCUCUGACAUGGACAUUACUGGUGGUAUCUGCAUUCAUAGAACUUUGAAAGGCAGACAAUUCCUAGAAAAAUCUUGAGUUUGUGAAUCCUCAAAACACACUCUCAGUGAGGAAAUAUUAUUGGGCUGAAAAAGUUCAUUUACAGAUGAUGGGGAUAUAUGCAAAGCCGACAGAGACAUUCAGAGCUGUUAUAACAGACAGCAGAAGUCAAGAGGCAAUAACUGCAGCUGAGAACUUCGGUGAUCAGGGUCAGUACAGGGCAUCUACGGACUUAGCCACAAAGUUUCAAUUUUGGUGUAAAUUCUUUAGUUUGGGAAUGCUGAGACAUGGUCUCUUGUUGGUUCACUUAAUUAUAUAAUGAACAGCUGUGAAGUUUUUAUUUGGAUUAAAAUUUCCCUGGAACUCAAGGUAAUUUAGAUCUGAGCUUUUGGCUCCAGUCCCUUCCCAGCUUGUACUCAAUAUAAAUUACUGCCCUAGAACCAUGACAUGUUCAAUUUAUCCUCCAUUUUAGAUGGCUGAAAAGUGCAUGCAUAAUUCUGUGCAUACCACACUUUCUGUAAUCUACUGUGACAAAUAGACCAAAUGACUGAAACUGCUAGGUAAGACACUUUAUUUUAGUCACGAACCCACACCCAGCCUUAGUUUAAAUACCAGGCAAAAAUGACAUUUGAAUUAUUUGAUUUGAAUCAAUGCCAAAUUCAAUCUUAUGCAAACUCAGAAAGAGAGAGGGAAAAAAAGUCUUGGAAUAAACCCAGUGAUUUAUGCAUGGGAACAUAAGGCAAUAACAAACAGCAAUCGAUUCAAUUGUAAUGACAGGAGUGGACCACCAUGAAAAAUCUGACAACUUUUCAUUGGAGCUACUGUGACUGAGGGGUUUGGAACAGGGUGAUAUUUUUACACAUGGAAAAUGACUACAAGAAAAGUAGACCCGGGGACCAGCAUUCCCAAUCCCACCUUCUACCAAAAAUGCUGGUCAAGCUCUGUAUGCCAUGCUCCACUCACACUGCUGUGAGGUUCUCCUUUGCCCAGUACAAUGGGGGAUGACAAAUAUUCCCAUUCCAGAGAGAAAAAUAGAAAAUAGUUAUAUCGCAUCUAUCUGAGAGAAAUAUCUAUAUUUUCAUGAUCUAAUUCCAAAUAACUAUGUUAAAUUAAGAGCUGUACUGAGAAAUUAUGAACCUUGGUGUUGAGUUUUGAUCUUCUAGGUCAGUCCGAUUUGCCCGUUAGUGCCAUGAGGCACAGGGAGGUAGAGUCACCUGAACAUCCCCCACGGAGAAAGCAGGACUGCCUACAGUUUUGUCAGUGUUACACAUCCCACAGGGAUAAUGCUUUCCAGGAUUAUUUUAUACUCUGGAGUAUUACUGUUUUUCUUAGGGCUUUCUUUACUGUGUAGCAACCUUUGUAAUAAAGCUAUGUUUGCAUAAGCAAACGCUAGGGGUUCAGUUCAGAAAGGCAGCCAAGACAACUUUUUAGCUAUACCUACUAAUUCCAACAUUCAACUCAACCCGAGAAGAGAGACUGGGGGGUAGCUGCCUAGACAGUUUGUUACUGCAGUUCUCUUUGGCCACUUGUACCCAGAGAGACUCUGACUAAGCUUUCUCUGAAGCAAUUUCUCUAAGCAAUUUUGUCCUCAGCCCGGGACCUAUCCUCUAAUUUGAUGCCUCUCAGUGGAAAUUUUUUUCCUCUGAAUUGCCAUGCCAAACAGUUGUCUGCUUUGUUGUUUUUUUCAUAGGAAGGCACCUGUUCAAUUUUAGAUACUGUUCAGCCUGUUCCACUUCAGUGGCCUGCACUACUCCUCUGAGAGCCCUGAGCUUUUCACAUAUUUCAGGCUGCCAGGUCUCUUAUGUGCUUUUCCCCAGCAGCCAAUUUUGCUCUGAAGCUCUCACGACUGAGCCAACUUCCAUUCCUUCAUAAAGGGAUACCCUCUUGUUAUUGCAAUUGAGGAGUUCCAUAAGAGGCUUUUAAUGUCUCCAGAGUGUUGUUAUGUACGAUAAAAUCUUGAAUUAAGCUUUACCUAACACUUGUUCAUGCAAUAUUCAUUUAUUGGCAAAUUGCAUUUGAUUCUGCUGUUGACAAAUACUUUUAGGUUUAUUUCUAAUACCACAAGUACAUGAUCAGAUUAAUAUAUGACUGAAUAACACAUUAUAUGCUCUGUUUGAGUAGCAGGAGUACUUGAAGCCUGAAUUCACUACAACGUACACUGCCAUCUUGUGUUCUGAAGUUCUAGAUAAUAUGGAAAUGCACACUCUACAUACAGCUUUUCACGAAUAGGAGUUGGCCAUAUGAGUGGAAUAUGCAAGAUUAUCAAAAGAUGUUUACUGUCAUUUUCUUUUCUUUCUUGUAAAAUAUGAAACAGUCCUCAAAAGAGCAAGUCUCACUGGUAACUCUGAAUUAAUUUCUUCUAAGGAUCCGUUCCAUUUAAUUAGUGAUUUACAGGUAGCCCAGUUAAAAAAAGACUACGGAGAAAAUUCUGCUACAGCCGAACCCUUCUCUUUUUUCCAGCAAUAAGGUCCAAUAUGGACUCCAAGGAACAGGUCUGUUGCAAGGCAGCCUCUGAGCUGGUGUAGAGUUGGCAGAGGAGUUGUAUGCCAAAUGUUUCUCUUCUCUAAAAAGGGCAUAUGAUAGAAAAGAGGGAAGAUUUGUAUUUAUUCUUACCUGGAAUCUCUGUCCCUUUAGAACAGCUGUAGUCUGAACAUAACUAGGUCAUCCCUGAGGCUGUUCCAGUAUGCACCAGAGUACUGGUCACUUGGUUGAAAGAGGACCUAAAGUGACAUUUACUUACAAAGUUAAGAAAGCGAAUCUAACCUCUCUGCCUGUGGUAUUUAUUCAAAACUGGAUUCCAAAUAUAAAACCAAUAACACAUAUUGGUGAAUGAAAUAAGAACUGCAUGCUGUUCAUCUAAAAAUGAUUGUUCCUUCAUAAUUUGCUAAUCAAAGAAAUCUUUUUGUACAUGCUUACUUCCAAUUGCUUUCACUGUAUAACAGUGUUUAGCUCUGCCUUCUUAUUAUGUUUUUAUUAAUUCCAGCUUCUUUCUACAUUUGUUUACUAUUGCGAACAUGUAGGAGCACUCCUAAACACAGCUUUGAACAAUGGCUCUGUAAAACCCAAAGGAUUUAUUCCAUGCAGCUGGUGUUGCCUGAAACAGGCAUAAGCAUGAAAGGGAAAAGGGUGCCAAAAAUAAAAUACUAAACUUAGAGACACCUGGGGCAGGGUGGGAAACAGUGAAAGCAUAUCAAGGUAACAGCUGCCAAGGUAGAAGGGCAGAAUGGCAGAGAACAUUAGCAGGGGAGAGAAAUGCAUUUGGCCUUUCUUGCUCAAAAGUUCCCCUCAGGUGAGUUGCUUUCUGUGCCAGAUACCUUUCAUUCCACCUGUUUGGCAUUUCUUAGCCUGUUUGCACAUACUUUUGUAUGUGAACUUAUAGUAUAAUUUGCCACCUCUGAAAGGCAAAUGCUUAUUGCACCCAUUAUUGACUGGUGCAGGCACUGUCUCCCAAGGUUACUUUUUAUGGCUUACCUGCAUAAUAUACCAUGGCACAGAGUUUAAACAAUCUCUCCCUUGUGAAAUAAGCAGUUGGAAUGACUCAAAAGAGCUUUUGCUCCUGUAACGAUACUUUGAUAAUACUUUACUGCUUUUUAAACUUGUCUUCAAAAGGCAACAUGUGUAUUGUGGUCUGGUUGCAAAACCUCCUCUUUCAGUAAGAGGAGAACAUUAAAACUGUUCAUACAACAUAUUGCAGUCAAUGGUUAAGUAAUGCAAAAAGCUUAUUGAAAAGGACUUUGUCAUUUCAAAAUCUGGAAUACCUUGCUAAGAUUGUUAAUGCUAUUUUAUUUACUUUAUCUGCCUGCAAGGUUCUUGCCCGUUUUCUUAGUUUUCUACCAUAGAGUCAUACUUUCUUAAUGUAUAUUCUUUGCUGUGUUGCCAUCCAAGAGAUUUUCAGAAAGAAAAAGCUAAUUGGCUACAUAUGAAGAAAAUAAAACAGUGACUCAAAUUAUGCUAGAAAUUAUAUCAAAUAAAGCAGGAAACUGUCUUCUGUAAUCUCUGUACUACAGUCAUUUUUGACAGGGUGUACAUAUACCUCCCUGGUGAUUGAAUAGCGCUGGCUGUAAUAGUUACAGGAAAAGCAAAAGAGGGAAAACUACUGUAAACAGAGCAGGUCUGGGAGGGGAGCUGAUGUCUACUGUGCCCUCGGUUCCUGGUGACGUGGGUCAACAAAGCCUGUGACUGUGGUCAGUCUAAGCCUCUUAAGCACCCCAUGCUCCAGCUUUUAAGCAUCUGCCAACAGUUGCCAUACUGUGUUAGACUGCAUAAGUCCUAGCAAUGGAUGAAAGUUUGUUGUUUCCGUUCCUAGUUUGUUUUCCAUUAGCUAGUUAAUUUUGGCAUUGUGAGACCUUUACCAAUGCUAGAAGAUGCCCGUCCAUCAGCCUGCCUAUGCUGGUAACUACCUACUGCCUGAAAGUUGAUGGUGGGAGUGAAAACAUUAGGGCUAAGUCUAACCAUGUGAAUUGCACCUAUCCCUUCCAGAUAAGUAACUGUGCAUUGCAGUACCACAUCUGAGCUGCUGGGUUAAUCCUGAAUGUGAACUUUGGAGAAAAUACUAGCUCAAGUUUAGACUUUCACAUUCCCAUCUAGAAGCUCCCUCCAACAACCUAAAGUCACAGGCAUUAGGCAGAACUGCAACCACGGGGUGCAGCUGGGUCCAGCUAAACCUGCAAUGUCCUUGAGAACAGCAACAAACUUCCAGAGAAAGGACAAGAUUUCAGGGUACAGCUUCAGACUCGGCAGUCCAGGAUGUGAGGCGGGGAUGUCCGUCCUGGCUGGGGACUCCAGGAACCACUGCCUGCUCUGCCUGGCCUGUGCUGUGACUACCUGCAGGAAUUUGCAGGGCUGAGAAUGCUACAUCAAAACCUCACCACAGAGGUGCUGAUUCGAAUCACUUCGUCACAGUUCAGCACUCCAGAAUCCUGGGAGGUGCUUGUGCGCAGGGGCUGCUGACUCCAGAGUCUUGCUCCAAUGUUUAGUACAUUUUAAAGAGUUCUGGGGGCAGUGUACAAGGUGGGGCAAAACUGAAGCACUUAGACCCAGUCCAGGAAAAGGAGAAUGGAAAUGAGGUGCGGCAGCUGCGUGCUUCUGCCCAAACCAAAAUGCAAAUGCUACAGUACUGGCAUAAUGAUAAUUUAGCUGAAUGUAAACCAGGAAAUCCCUCCCUUUCUGCUGUGGUUAGCCAUGAGUACACUGCCACGUGGUGGAUGGUACUUACCAGCCUGUGGCUAAGUUCCCUGUUCACAGCUCUGUGCCUCCAGUUCCUCUUUUGGUGACAGAAUUCCCCCUUCCCAUUACUCCUUGAGGAGUACUCCCGUUCCUUGAGGAACAGCAGAGUUACAAAAGAAACAUGGUACAAGGAUACAGAAGAUCUUGUGUUCAUGUUCAUGGCAUUGGUAGUCUCCUUCUGAAGCUUUCUGUGGCACAAGCACAUAAAAAGCCAUUGCUGGGUAUUCAGUUUGCCUCCAUUAUCUUGCCAUAUAAUUGCUUAGGGUGCUUGAUCCCCUCUUGGCACAGCACAUGAAGAGACCAUUAAAUGCCUACUACCACCACCUGUUUCUGUCUACGCUCUGCUUGACUUUAAUCUGUUCUCAUCAUCUUUGCAUGUAUUCUUAAAUGUCUUUCUAAACUUAGGAUCCUGAAGUAUGUACCUCAAAAUGAAGGUGAAUGGUAUUAGUCCCCUAGAUCUACUUAGUGCAUACAGGGAAAGCAGCUUUGAUUUGUCAGAAGGCACCUCUGAUUUGGCAGUGCAGAGGGAAGCUGGGACAAACUAGAAGGAAUAAUAGAGUAUUGCAGGAAACUUUGGGGAACAGACUAAAAGGGAAGUGAAUAUCACUGAGGGCUGAACAAAUAUACAAGUACAGUGGACUGGGAGAACAGUGGCUCUCUGGAUAAGAGUGCAUGCUGCUUAGUGCAUAAACUGCAAAUCUGCUGCAGGACAUCAGGACAUAGCUUAACCCAUUACCCAGCAGACCUUAAUGGCAGGGAUAGUAUUCACUCUUAGCUGUGUGUUGAAAGACUCUGGAUCUGAAUUAUAAAAGCAUAUGGUUGCCUGCAUAUGUCAGAACAAAUGCAGAGGCUACAGAGUAGUUGUAUUCUGUCUACCAUUUUCACAAAGCACCAAUCAUGCACUGGGAAAUUCAGAUGUUUAAUAAAAUUCUCUCUUAUGAGUUAUAAAAUCUUAACUUUCCAUUAGUAGCUACCUUUACAGGACAAUUGUACUAUUGUGUGGGAGAUAAUUAUGGAGUAAUAUAAGAUCAUAUGGGGAUAAUAUAAGUACUGUUGAGACAGAAUUAAUAGUUUUAAUCUAAGCUGUAGAUGUUUCAUUCUGCUUUGACAUCUAGUUCCCUCAAGAUCACGGAAAAACCUAUAAUUUUAGGCAAAGGAGAAAAAGAAAGAUCAAUUUUUUCAUGUGAAAAGUGACCAAAACAAUGGCACCAUGUGAAGGGCACCCUAAAAGUAGAAUCAAACACUUCAGUCAAAUACAGCUCACGCUUAAAGAGUGUUUUGUUCAUUUUAAAGGUCAUAUGAUUAUUUGUCAGCCUCCAUUCGGGAACAGUUUUUGCAUGGUCUAUUCAAACACGCUGCCUGUCCCAAAUACGGUGUUUACGCAAUUACAUUGCUUAAUUGUGUGUCUGAUGUUGCAUACCUUGGUAUUCCCUAGAGCAUACCCAGGUAAUUGUCUUAAAAUGUAAUAGACUCUAGAAGAAAUUAUUCCCUCUCAUUAAACUCCGA